rnacentral:lncRNA from 1 species
GAAAAACAUGACAACUUAUUCUAAGUAGGAGAAGAAACACAACAGCUGAGAACACCUACAUGGGAAAAUUGAAAGAGAAGUUUGGCUGCUGGAUCUUCUCCCACUUUAACAGUGAAGGUGGAACCUACUAAUCGGGUUCAUUGAAGCCGGCGCUCAGAAACCAACCGACUUGAGCCCCCUCUUCAUUUUGGAAGGUUUUGCCUACUGUGAUGUGUCAAAAAGCUGAGCAGCCUGCAGGAACAAAUGUCUGAGUCCUGUCUUCUCUGAGUACAGUCCAAAUACCAACAGCUGUUAUUUACCCUGGGAUUUUUCUGGUUUAGCUUUUUUGUUCUUUGCAUUC